rnacentral:rRNA from 1 species
GACGGAGGGUGCUAGCGUUGUUCGGAAUUACUGGGCGUAAAGGGCGCGUAGGCGGCUUCGUAAGUCAAAGGUGAAAUCCCUCGGCUCAACUGAGGAACUGCCUUUGAAACUGCGAGGCUUGAGGCCGGGAGGGGGUAGCGGAAUUCCCAGUGUAGCGGUGAAAUGCGUAGAUAUUGGGAGGAACACCAGUGGCGAAGGCGGCUACCUGGACCGGUUCUGACGCUGAGGCGCGAAAGCGUGGGUAGCAAACAGG